CUCUUUGUCAGGAGGAACGGCUGAGGCCAGGCGACACCAGCACUGUUUGUACAUCUGUACAUCCCUCACAUGUCUCGCCCACAGCCCUUCUGGGCUUGUCUCCAUGGUAACCACAGCAGGGAUGGUGUCCUUGGCAGAGAUGGAGGGAUGGAUAGAGAGAGGAGAAAUGUCCGUGAUGGAAGUCAUGAGCUCCACUUAACCUCCUGGCCUAGAAUGAAAUCAAUAAUCUGCUGCUCAAUGCCUACAGUCAUUCAGCCUAAACUGAUGCCUCAAUAACAACCUACCUGUGUGUGUGUGUGCGUGCGUGCGUGCGUGCGUGUGGACCCCCCUGGUCUUGAUAGCAGAGGGGCAGAUCAGAUGGAGAGGUCCUUCUGGCGUCAAAGGCUUUGCAUAUGUAGGCAUCCAGUGGCUAUUUCGAAGCUGUGGGUUAGUCGCCACACCAUGACGCUCUGGCAUGGUGCGCUUCUCAUUAUGUUAAUUAUGUAAAUAGUUAUGUAAAUAAAAUAAAUAUGCAAAUAUACA
rnacentral:lncRNA from 1 species